rnacentral:lncRNA from 1 species
ACCAGGAAUCAGCUAAAUAUAGCUAUUUCAUUUAACCUAUUUUUCAAAAUUUAGAACAAUUAUUUAAAUGUCAUCUACAAUAGAGUAUGUGUGUCAAAAAUAUGUUUUAACUUAUUGUUUACAUGUUUAACUUAUUGUAAACAUGACAAAUCAAUAUCAAUUGUUCGUGUUGAUGAUGUCAUUGGCUGGACUCAAGAGCAGUUUGAGAAACUCAAAAUUUGUAGAAGAGUAAAACUUAUGGUGAACAAUGAUGAUAGUAUGAAUAAGGUAUUAGUUUUGCAAUGCGCAACAAGUUAUGAAGGACUCAAAGAUACUUUAAGGUUUGUUUUUGAAAUGAAAAGAAAAAAACAAACAAUAGGUUUCAUACAAACUCAUUUCAAUCCAGUCCGUGACCUAAACAGACAAAGACUGCCCCCAGUUUAUUUUUUAUUCAGCCUCUUCACACAUCUUCUGAAGGUUCAAAUUUUGAUACAGAUCCUUCUGAUUCUAUCGUAAUAUUUUAUUUAAUGCAGAUUUUGAAACAGAAAUUAAUUAAUGCAGAACAUUUAAUUAAUACUCAUUUAUCUAUAGAAAUAUUUAAAUUUUUUAGGCACCACAUAAUCAGGAUACUGCUGCUAAAGCAGUUGCGUUAAAGCCUCUGCCACCACUUAAAACUCAAAAGUUUCCUGUUUCAU